GACGAACGCUGGCGGCGUGCCUAACACAUGCAAGUCGAACGGAAAGGCCCUGCUUUUGUGGGGUGGUCGAGUGGCGAAGGGGUGAGUAACACGUGAGUAACCUGUACCUGACUGUGGGAUAUCUUCAGGAAACUGGGGCUAAUACCGGAUAGGAGCUCCUGCUGCAUGGUGGGGGUUGGUAAGUUUCGGUGGUUGGGGAUGGACUCGCGGCUUACGAGCUUGUUGGGUGGGUAGUGGCUGACCAAGGCUAUGAAGGCUAGCCGGCCUGGGAGGGGAGCCGGCGCCGUUACGCCUGGGCUACGCCCCAGACUCGUAUCGUACGCAACGGUGGAGAGUAUUACACAGUACGCGGGAGCCAGAUGUGACACCGCCGCGUGCGGGAAGACGUCCUUCUGGUUGUGAACCACUUUCGCCUGAGCCGAGGCGUUAGUGACGGUACCGGGUAAAGAAGCACCGGCUAACUACGUG
rnacentral:rRNA from 1 species